UACGUAGGGUGCGAGCGUUGUCCGGAAUUACUGGGCGUAAAGAGCUCGUAGGUGGUUUGUCGCGUUGUUCGUGAAAACUCACAGCUUAACUGUGGGCGUGCGGGCGAUACGGGCAGACUGGAGUACUGCAGGGGAGACUGGAAUUCCUGGUGUAGCGGUGGAAUGCGCAGAUAUCAGGAGGAACACCGAUGGCGAAGGCAGUGAUCUGGGCCAGUACUGACGCUGAGGAGCGAAAGCGUGGGGAGCAAACAGG
rnacentral:rRNA from 1 species